rnacentral:rRNA from 1 species
UAACAAGGAUUCCCCUAGUAACUGCGAGUGAAGCGGGAAGAGCUCAAAUUUGUAAUCUGGCGGUCAUCUGGUCGUCUGAGUUGUAAUCUGUAGAGGCAUCAUCUGUGUCGGCCCGUGUACAAGUCUCCUGGAAUGGAGCGUCAUAGAGGGUGAGAAUCCCGUCCAUGACACGGACCGCCGAUGCUCUGUGAGGUGCCCUCGAAGAGUCGCGUUGUUUGGGAAUGCAGCGCAAAAUGGGUGGUAAAUUCCAUCUAAGGCUAAAUAUUGGCGAGAGACCGAUAGUGAACAAGUACCGUGAGGGAAAGAUGAAAAGCACUUUGGAAAGAGAGUUAAACAGUACGUGAAAUUGUUGAAAGGGAAACGCUUGAAGUCAGUCGCGUCCCGAGGCACUCAGCCUUGCUUCGGCUUGGUGUACUUGCCUUGAGAUGGGUCAGCAUCAAUUUUGGCUGGUGGACAAGGUUGAGGGGAAUGUAGCGUUGUUUCGAUGACGUGUUAUAGCUCCUUAUCGAAUACACUGGUCGGGAUUGAGGAUUGCAGCACGCCCUUGUGGUCAGGGGUUCGCCCCAUGUAACGUGCUUAGGAUGUUGGCAUAAUGGCUUUAAGCGACCCGUCUUGAAACACGGACCAAGGAGUCUAACAUGCUUGCGAGUGUUUGGGUGGAAAACCCUUGCGCGUAAUGAAAGUGAAAGUUGAGAGCCUCUAUAAAAGGAGGUGCACUGACGCCCGGCCCUGACGUUCUCUAAUGGUGCUGCGGUAGAGCAAGUAUGUUGGGACCCGAAAGAUGGUGAACUAUGCCUGAAUAGGGCGAAGCCAGAGGAAACUCUGGUGGAGGCUCGUAGCGAUUCUGACGUGCAAAUCGAUCGUCAAAUUUGGG